CCACAAAUGUUGCUCCAUAUGGAAUUAUGGAUGUGGUUGGCUUGCUGUUGGUUUUCGACACCAGCUUCACGUUCUGGGAGUUGUAGACAGCCAGCCCAAAGCAAGAUCUUAGUGCUCCUAUGGCUGAUGACAAUGAGCUUGAACCUUUUGGGUUUGCAGAUAUCUUCUGAGAGGCUCAUGGGUUCUUCAUAAACUGUUCACAGUAAUGCAGAUUCAAUUAAUGUAUGUGUGAAUUAUACAACCAAGGACUUCAUGCAUCAACAGAAAACAACCGAUGACUAGAUAUAAGGUACCAAACAGAGUGCAAUUGUGCAAGUGGCAGGUCGUCAGUUUAUAUCAAAGCACCAUUCAUAAGAGGAUCAUCAACCAAUGUGAAAAAGAUGUCCAAA